GGGCCCAUAGUUCAGUGGCAGAAUACUCGCAUUCAAUGCGAGAGACCCGCGUUCGAUCCGCGGUGGGCCCA
rnacentral:tRNA from 1 species